AGAGUUUGAUCGUGGCUCAGAAUCAACGCUGGCGGCGUGCCUAACACAUGCAAGUCGAACGCGAAAGUCCCGCAAGGGAUAAGUAGAGUGGCAAACGGGUGAGUAACGCGUGGGUGACCUGCCUUCGAGCGGGGGAUAACGUUCCGAAAGGGACGCUAAUACCGCAUAACAUCCUGCCUUUGAACAGGCGGAGAUCAAAGCCGGGGAUCGCAAGACCUGGCACUCGAAGAGGGGCCCGCGUCCGAUUAGCUAGUUGGUGGGGUAAUGGCUCACCAAGGCAACGAUCGGUAGCCGGCCUGAGAGGGCGGACGGCCACACUGGGACUGAGGACACGGCCCAGACUCCUACGGGAGGCAGCAGUGGGGAGUUGUUCGCAAUGGGCGCAAGCCUGACGACGCAACGCCGCGUGGAGGAUGAAGAUCUUCGGUCGUAAACUCCUGUCGAAUGGGACGAACGGAUCGCGGGGUAACAUCCCGUGGUCGUGACGGUACCGUUAAAGGAAACCCGGCUAACUCCGUGCCAGCUGCCGCGGUAAU
rnacentral:rRNA from 1 species